UGGUAAUUUGUUGUACCUGUUGUAUGUCC
rnacentral:piRNA from 1 species